GAUGUCUACUCGGAGUUUGGUGUCUUGAACACUGGGCUCUCAAGCUAACGCAUUAAGUAGACCGCCUGGGGAGUACGGCCGCAAGGUUAAACUCAAAUGAAUUGACGGGGGCCCGCACAAGCGGUGGAGCAUGUGGUUUAAUUCGAUGCAACGCGAAGAACCUUACCUACUCUUGACAUCCACAGAAGAGACCAGAGAUGGACUUGUGCCUUCGGGAACUGUGAGACAGGUGCUGCAUGGCUGUCGUCAG
rnacentral:rRNA from 1 species